rnacentral:rRNA from 1 species
AGAGUUUGAUCCUGGCUCAGGAUGAACGCUAGCUACAGGCUUAACACAUGCAAGUCGAGGGGCAGCAUGGUCUUAGCUUGCUAAGGCUGAUGGCGACCGGCGCACGGGUGAGUAACACGUAUCCAACCUGCCGUCUACUCUUGGACAGCCUUCUGAAAGGAAGAUUAAUACAAGAUGGCAUCAUGAGUCCGCAUGUUCACAUGAUUAAAGGUAUUCCGGUAGACGAUGGGGAUGCGUUCCAUUAGAUAGUAGGCGGGGUAACGGCCCACCUAGUCAACGAUGGAUAGGGGUUCUGAGAGGAAGGUCCCCCACAUUGGAACUGAGACACGGUCCAAACUCCUACGGGAGGCAGCAGUGAGGAAUAUUGGUCAAUGGGCGAGAGCCUGAACCAGCCAAGUAGCGUGAAGGAUGACUGCCCUAUGGGUUGUAAACUUCUUUUAUAUGGGAAUAAAGUUUGCCACGUGUGGAAUUUUGUAUGUACCAUAUGAAUAAGGAUCGGCUAACUCCGUGCCAGCAGCCGCGGUAAUACGGAGGAUCCGAGCGUUAUCCGGAUUUAUUGGGUUUAAAGGGAGCGUAGGCGGACGCUUAAGUCAGUUGUGAAAGUUUGCGGCUCAACCGUAAAAUUGCAGUUGAUACUGGGUGUCUUGAGUACAGUAGAGGCAGGCGGAAUUCGUGGUGUAGCGGUGAAAUGCUUAGAUAUCACGAAGAACUCCGAUUGCGAAGGCAGCCUGCUGGACUGUAACUGACACUGAUGCUCGAAAGUGUGGGUAUCAAACAGGAUUAGAUACCCUGGUAGUCCACACAGUAAACGAUGAAUACUCGCUGUUUGCGAUAUACAGUAAGCGGCCAAGCGAAAGCGUUAAGUAUUCCACCUGGGGAGUACGCCGGCAACGGUGAAACUCAAAGGAAUUGACGGGGGCCCGCACAAGCGGAGGAACAUGUGGUUUAA